GACGAACGCUGGCGGCGUGCUUAACACAUGCAAGUCGAGCGGUAAGGCCCUUUCGGGGGUACACGAGCGGCGAACGGGUGAGUAACACGUGGGUGACCUGCCCUCAGCUCUGGGAUAAGCCUGGGAAACUGGGUCUAAUACUGGAUAUGACUCCACGGUGCAUGUCGUGGGGUGGAAAGCCUUGUGCGGCUGAGGAUGGGCCCGCGGCCUAUCAGCUUGUUGGUGGGGNGAUGGCCUACCAAGGCGACGACGGGUAGCCGGCCUGAGAGGGCGACCGGCCACACUGGGACUGAGACACGGCCCAGACUCCUACGGGAGGCAGCAGUGGGGAAUCUUGCGCAAUGGGCGAAAGCCUGACGCAGCGACGCCGCGUGAGGGAUGACGGCCUGGUG
rnacentral:rRNA from 1 species